AAAAAGCAAUGAAGCAUGAAAUUCAGAGAGGUUCCUCGAAAAACACAUUCAGACAGACCUCAGAUACCACGGAAAAAUCAUGAGGAGCCACCUACAACAACAAAAACUACAUCACGUAAUCAGGCAGGAAACUAGGCCAGAUCAUCACCUUCAAACAGCGAAGGAACAGACACCCCAAGCUAGCAGAAAUACAGAGAAACCAACCGCUGCAACUACCAGUACACCUACCUCCACCAUCUACAGCACAAGCCUACAUCCGUUCUGAUUUGAGAAACACAAGCCUACAUCCACGUCUACACGUAGGGGAGAAAAACGACCACAAAAAUGGAAAACCUAUAACCCGCAACUACAAGCUCCUACACAAUUGAGGCCAGAAGAGCAUAGAGGGGAGAAAUUGGGCGGACUACGAAUGGCGGAUUAGGAAAAUACAGCAGCACCUACCACGGAUACAUGAACACAACAAACAGAUGAUCCACGGAGACGAAACUCAGUAGAUCUGGAACUACACGACCACAAC
rnacentral:rRNA from 1 species